CUCAGUUUCUUCUGGUUCAAGGACCUGAGGCUGAAAAACAUAGCUGUUAUUGUCAUGAAAAUAAAAUCUCUGAGAGAAUGUGUGUCCCAGAGAUAGGAAUAGAAAUCCUAAUUAAGCAUGAGAAGGUUGAGUUGUAGGCUAAUUAUCUUUUCCAUCUGUUACUUAAUAGGGCUUUGUAACACUGGGAUUUAAGGUUUGUCAAUUUUUACUGUCUUUCACUCUAAACCUGGACAUCUCUGCCAAGGCUGACAAUGAAAUGAGCACAUUAAGAUAAUAAAUUUCCAGUAAACGGACUAAGUUAUUUAUUUUGGAUGAGCAAAGCUACAUGUAAAACUGGGGUGUGUUGUGGGUUGAUUGGUUACUGGAGGUGGGAGUGCUGUAAGAGUUGAAUGCUUUUAUAAUAAGCUUUAGUUGUGGGAACGUUUGAGCCUGGAACGUGAAAGAAUGCAGACCUUCCAAAAUAUGGGGAGCACGUGAUGGACAUGAUGACAGAGAUGCAGCACGGGGAGGGAAGCGAGCUCGCUCAGAAGCACGAAGGAGCAGGAGUCUCGGACCUAAGAGGUCCCACUUCUAUGUGAUCCUGGGGCUUCCAGCCUUUAUUGCACCAUCAUUCUGGAAGAAAAAAAUAAAGGAACAAGAAAGAGUGAAAAGACUAAGGAUCCUCUGCAGAAAUGUGUAGAGGGCAUUGCCUAACUGACCAACACUCAGCAAGCUGUAAAAAUAUGUG
rnacentral:lncRNA from 1 species